rnacentral:rRNA from 1 species
UACGUAGGGGGCGAGCGUUGUCCGGAAUCAUUGGGCGUAAAGCGCGCGUAGGCGGCUCGGAAAGUCGGGCGUGAAAUGCCGGGGCUCAACCCCGGGACUGCGUCCGAUACUUCCGAGCUGGAGGUAGGUAGGGGAGAUCGGAAUUCCUGGUGUAGCGGUGAAAUGCGCAGAUAUCAGGAGGAACACCGGUGGCGAAGGCGGAUCUCUGGGCCUGUUCUGACGCUGAGGCGCGAAAGCUAGGGGAGCGAACAGG